rnacentral:tRNA from 1 species
GCCCCCGUUGUGUAGCGGCCUAGCCCGCCGCCCUCUCAAGGCGGUAGCGCUGCUCCGACUCUGGUCGGGCGUA